AGUUGGGGGGGGGGGGGGUUCGGGUACAGGAGAAUGGACGAGCAUUCCUCCGUUUGCGUUUGUGUGCUGAGUCUGGAUGACAAACACGAUACACUUCCAAAUAGUUCAGUUACCUACUUAACGACCCAUUAGUUCUGUAAGUUUUCCGGACGAGUGCAACUGUACUAAACUUUGGCUUACACGGAGACCGAUCAAUUUUUUCGACGAUGGAGAAGAUUAUUUUAUGUAUCCUCGUGACAUGCGGAUUUUUUUGGCCGAGUCGUGCGAAAGCUGAGAUUUCACCGGAGGAGCUUGCAACCCUCCAGGACUACCGAGCCAUUGAUGAAAUCUUACUCAGUUACCUGAGAAACGUCAUUGUUAUUUUGGAAUCGAAAAUAGAUUAUAUAUAUUUUUUGCGGGACUCUCUCACUGGGCACAAUCAUUUGAAGUUGGAUCCGCAACACUACUCAAAAGAUGCGCUCCAGAACUUUAAAUUGGCCAAACGGUUCAUGUAUCAGUGGAAGCUAAUUCAUAGAAGUGUUCGCGACAAUCCCAUCGAAAGAUUGGAUGAUCGAUACCGACAGUUGCUAGCUAAAUAUGCAUUUCCGUCGAUGACUGAUUUGAGGAAUUUUGCAAUGGACUACUUACGCAUACAAAUUAGGAGAAAUAUUCCCACCGUGGAUCUUGCGAGCGGUACAUUUCUGGGUGCAAAACACAAGACGGCGUUACGCGGUGAGCAAUACAUUUUGCAACAUAAGAACAAAUAUAACUCUAAAUUAUGUAUUUGAGUUUAAGGCCCAACUGUGAAAAAUGUGU
rnacentral:lncRNA from 1 species